AUGACUCCAGCUCCGAGACCAACAAAUACAAACAUUGAGAGGGUGUCGGACCUCAUUGAUACACGGACUUGGUCUUGGAAGAUUGAUUUGAUCAGGGAUACUUUCACGGUGCAAGAUGCCGCGGCUAUCCUUAAUAUCCCAGUUAGGCAAGGCGGUGGUGACGAUUUUCUUGCAUGGGCAUUUGACAUAUCAGGUAACUACACUGUCAAGACAGCGUACCGUGCUCUCGUGACUCAGAACGAGCGUCAGGCUCUAGAGGAAGGGACGGCUAGCGAAACUUCAUCGGAUGAUAAACAGUUGUGGAAAGCCUUGUGGAAGUUGAAUGUGAUCCCAAAAGUACGAGUGUUC
rnacentral:rRNA from 1 species